CCAGAUUAAACCCCUUGAAAACGGGGGAACUCUGGAGUUGCAUGGUUCGCCAAAACUGGGGAUAACCGACAAGGAACCUUACCAAGUUGAUGUUAAACAAAGAAAAGGUUUUUUUGCGCUAAUGGCGAUCGCAUAUAGCACUACAGACAAUCCCGUGCCCAGCUCACAGAUACUGAGAAGGUGUAGAGACUAUCCAGGUUAUGGAGUAGGCAGUAAGCGGUUGACUGUCGAAGCGGGGGGCUCUUUUGUUUCACAAGAGAUGAUGAUAUAGUCCGAUCUAUGUGGUGACACAUAG
rnacentral:misc_RNA from 1 species